AAGUCGUAACAAGGUUUCCGUAGGUGAACCUGCGGAAGGAUCAUUAAUAAGCGAGCCGCUCUGCGGCCUGCAUUAAUACACAACACACCUGUGCACGCCUUCGGGCUCAAAACUAAAAGUCUAUGAAUGUCUUUACAAAACAAACAUACAACUUUCAACAACGGAUCUCUUGGCUCUC
rnacentral:misc_RNA from 1 species